ensembl:lncRNA
AUACAUCUCUCCAGUUUCAUCUCGUAGUUGGCAGUUCUCCACUAUAAAAAAAGCAAAAAAGGUUUUCCAGAAUUUUACGUAAUGUGCUAUAGUACACAUUAACAUCAGGCAAGAGAAAACAAUCUCCUACCAGCAAGUGGGCAGGCUCUGAAUAUAAAGCGGCUAAUAGGGAACUCUUUCUGUAGAAGGCCAACCCUCAUUUGCAGUGGAUGUUUCAUGAAAGUUUUCAUCCGUCUGGGAGGGCAUGGAGAGGCGUACUUCCUGCAGCUCCUCUUCCCCACGACUCAGCUUGAAGACUGUAUGCCCAUUCUCCGGAGUUUUGAUCCUAGCCAUCAGAAUCACAGAAAGAAGUUGGGUUUCUGCAUUAUUGUAUAAUAGUUGGGUAAUGUUUAUAAUUUCUUAGCUCUAGUGCUGAGAUUUUGGUCUUCAGUGAUGUGUUGCUUUUCCCGCACUUUACUGGUGUCCUGUGUUUCACAUAGGCAGUCACCAGGAUGGCAACUACAAUAGCAGCCUCCUGAAUAUUUUCAGCAAAUAUGCCAAAAAUAUAAUGGCUUUUUUUUGUUUUGUUUUGUUUUUUAAUAAAUUUGUGUGGAUGGUGGCUAUAGGUAUUUGAUGGGCUUGAUGUAUGCUCCACAUUUCCAUAUAGGAAGAUGAUGAUGCUAAUAAA